rnacentral:rRNA from 1 species
UACGAAGGGGGCGAGCGUUGUUCGGAUUUACUGGGCGUAAAGGGCGCGUAGGCGGCCCGUUUUGUCAGGCGUGAAAUCCCCGGGCUCAACCUGGGAAUGGCGAUGGAUACUGGACAGCUAGAGUGUGUCAGAGGAUGGUGGAAUUCCCGGUGUAGCGGUGAAAUGCGUAGAGAUCGGGAGGAACAUCAGUGGCGAAGGCGGCCAUCUGGGACAACACUGACGCUGAAGCACGAAAGCGUGGGGAGCAAACAGG